rnacentral:rRNA from 1 species
UGGGGGAUAUUGCACAAUGGGCGAAAGCCUGAUGCAGCGACGCCGCGUGGGGGAUGAAGGCCUUCGGGUUGUAAACUUCUUUUGCUCUGAACAAGGCGCACCAUGGGGUGUGUUGAGUGUAGGGGUUGAUUAGCGCCGGCUAACUACGUGCCAGCAGCCGCGGUAAUACGUAGGGCGCGAGCGUUGUCCGGAAUUAUUGGGCGUAAAGGGCUUGUAGGUGGCUGGUUGCGUCUGUCGUGAAAGCUCAUGGCUUAACUGUGGGUUUGCGGUGGGUACGGGCUGGCUUGAGUGCAGUGGGGGAGGCUGGAAUUCCUGGUGUAGCGGUGGAAUGCGCAGAUAUCAGGAGGAAUACCGGUGGCGAAGGCGGGUCUCUGGGCUGUUACUGACACUGAGGAGCGAAAGCAUGGGGAGCGAACAGG